rnacentral:rRNA from 1 species
CCUACGUGAGGCAGCAGUGAGGAAUAUUGGUCAAUGGACGCAAGUCUGAACCAGCCAUGCCGCGUGCAGGAAGACGGCUCUAUGAGUUGUAAACUGCUUUUGUACGAGGGUAAACGCAGAUACGCGUAUCUGUCUGAAAGUAUCGUACGAAUAAGGAUCGGCGAACUCCGUGCCAGCAGCCGCGGUAAUACGGAGGAUUCAAGCGUUAUCCGGAUUUAUUGGGUUUAUGGGGUGCGUAGGCGGUCGGAUAAGUUAGAGGUGAAAUCCCGGGGCUCAACUUCGGAAUUGCCUCUGAUACUGUGCGGCUAGAGAGUAGUUGCGGUAGGCGGAAUGUAUGGUGUAGCGGUGAAAUGCUGAGAGAUCAGACAGAACACCGGUUGCGAAGGCAGCUUACCAAGCUACUACUGACGUUGAGGCACGAAAGCGUGGGGAGCAAACAGGAUUAGAUACCCGAGUAGUC